UACGAAGGGGGCUAGCGUUGUUCGGAAUUACUGGGCGUAAAGCGCACGUAGGCGGGUAUUUAAGUCAGGGGUGAAAUCCCAGAGCUCAACUCUGGAACUGCCUUUGAUACUGGGUACCUAGAGUAUGGAAGAGGUGAGUGGAAUUCCGAGUGUAGAGGUGAAAUUCGUAGAUAUUCGGAGGAACACCAGUGGGCGAAAGGCGGCUCACUGGCCCGAUAACUGACGCUGAGGACGAAAGCGUGGGGGAGCAAACGG
rnacentral:rRNA from 1 species